AGAAGGGUGUGUGUGUUUUUCCUGAGAAUAAGAGAAGGAAGGACAGCCAAAUUCUUCA
ensembl:miRNA MIR4455 microRNA 4455